rnacentral:rRNA from 1 species
CGGCAGGCUAACAGAUGCAGAGUCGGGACGGGUAGCACAAAGGGAGCUUGCUCCUUGGGGUGACGAUGUGGCUGGACGUGGGUGAGUUAAUGUCGUUGUGGGAGUCGUGCGCCGAUAGAGUGGGUGAUAACCUGCUGGAGAACGGGUGUGCUAAUACCGCAUAACGUCGGCAAGACCAGAAGAGUGGGGCACCUUCGGGCCUCUCACUAUCGGAUUGAAACCCAGAUGGGAUUAGCUAGGUAAGUGCUGGUGUAAUUGGCCCACCUAGUGCUGACUGAUCCCUAGCUGGUCCUGAGAGUGAUGCACCAGCCACACUUGGAACUUGAGACAACGGUCCAAGACUCCUACGGGAGGCAAGCAGGUUGGGG